AUGAUUGGAGGCUCUGUGUUCAUAGUUUAUAUAGGUCAUCUUUAUAUCUGGGCCAUGGUCGUUGUGAUUCAAAUAUUUAUGGAAACAGAGCUUUUUAACCUACUUAGAAGAUUGAGCGAAGAGAGACAGCUGCAAGGGUCCAGGUUGCCGAAUUGGUAG
rnacentral:rRNA from 1 species